CAGUCGCCACGGUAAUACGUAGGGUGCGAGCGUUGUCCGGAAUUACUGGGCGUAAAGAGCUCGUAGGCGGUUUGUCGCGUCGUCUGUGAAAUUCUGCAGCUUAACUGUAGGCGUGCAGGCGAUACGGGCAGACUUGAGUACUGCAGGGGAGACUGGAAUUCCUGGUGUAGCGGUGAAAUGCGCAGAUAUCAGGAGGAACACCGGUGGCGAAGGCGGGUCUCUGGGUAGUAACUGACGCUGAGGAGCGAAAGCGUGGGUAGCGAACAGGAUUAAAUACCCCUGUAGUCCCUGUCUCUUAUAC
rnacentral:rRNA from 1 species